rnacentral:rRNA from 1 species
UGAGGAACAUGACCUUCGGCGGGGGAUAGCCGGCCCAACGGCCGGGUAAUACCGCGUACGACCACUUGGGGACAUCCCCGAAUGGUGAAAGCAGCAAUGCGCCGAUGGAGUGCCUCGCGGCCUAUCAGCUAGUUGGUGAGGUAACGGCUCACCAAGGCAACGACGGGUAGCUGGUCUGAGAGGAUGGCCAGCCACAUUGGGACUGAGACACGGCCCAGACUCCUACGGGAGCAG